AUACUUACCUGGCAGGGAAGAUACCACGGUCACAAAGAUGGUUUUCCCAGGGUAAGGUCACCCAAUGCACUUGGUGUGUCUUAACAAUUAAAUUAAAAAAAAAAAGAAUUGAACCAGUGUUAUUCAUAUUGCCC
rnacentral:snRNA from 14 species